rnacentral:rRNA from 1 species
AUAGUGAACCAGUACCGUGAGGGAAAGGCGAAAAGAACCCCGGCGAGGGGAGUGAAAUAGAACCUGAAACCUUGUGCUUACAAGCAGUAGGAGCCCACUUGUUGGGUGACUGCGUACCUUUUGUAUAAUGGGUCAACGACUUAAUUUUAGUAGCAAGCUUAACUGUUUAGGGUAGGCGCAGGGAAACCGAGUCUUAAUAGGGCGCCAAGUUGCUGGAAUUAGACCCGAAACCGGGUGAUCUAUCCAUGGCCAGGGUGAAGGUUAGGUAACACUGACUGGAGGCCCGAACCCACUUAUGUUGAAAAAUGAGGGGAUGAGCUGUGGAUAGGAGUGAAAGGCUAAUCAAACCCGGAGAUAGCUGGUUCUCAUCGAAAACUAUUUAGGUAGUGCCUCAUGUAUUACCAUUGGGGGUAGAGCACUGUUUCGGCUAGGGGGUCAUCCCGACUUACCAAACCGAUGCAAACUCCGAAUACCAAUGAGUAUGAGCAUGGGAGACAGACUGCGGGUGCUAACGUCCGUAGUCGAGAGGGAAACAACCCAGACUGUCAGCUAAGGUCCCAAAUUAUGAUUAAGUGGGAAACAAUGUGGGAAGGCACAAACAGCUAGGAGGUUGGCUUAGAAGCAGCCACCCUUUAAAGAAAGCGUAACAGCUCACUAGUCGAGUCGGCCUGCGUGGAAGAUAUAACGGGGCUAAAUCAUAAACCGAAGCUACAGAUCUUUUUAAGAUGGUAGAUGAGCGUUCUGUAAGCCGCUGAAGGUAAGCUGUGAGGCGAACUGGAGGUAUCAGAAGUGCGAAUGUUGACAUGAGUAACGAUCAAAGAGGUGAAAAACCUCUUCGCCGAAAAACUAAGGGUUCCUGUCCAACGCUAAUCGAGGCAGGGUGAGUCGGCUCCUAAGGCGAGGGCGAAAGCCGUAGUCGAUGGGAAACAGGUUAAUAUUCCUGUACUUUUUACAACUGCGAUGGGGUGACGGAGAAGGUUAGACUAUCACGGCGUUGGUUGUCCGUGUUUAAGGCUGUAGACUGACAAUUUAGGUAAAUCCGGAUUGUUAAGGUCGAGGGCUGAUGACGAUUACCUAUUGGUAAGAAGUAGUUAAUACCAUGCUUCCAGGAAAAACCUCUAAGCUUCAGGUUGUAAGAAACCGUACCCGAAACCGACACAGGUGGUUAGGUAGAGAAUACCAAGGUGUUUGAGAGAACUUGGGUGAAGGAACUAGGCAAAAUGACACCGUAACUUCGGGAGAAGGUGUGCCGUAGUUAGUGAUUAGACUUGCUCUAUGAGCUGAUUAUGGUCGAAGAUACCAGGUGGCUGCGACUGUUUACUAAAAACAUAGCACUCUGCAAACUCGUAAGAGGACGUAUAGGGUGUGACGCCUGCCCGGUGCCGGAAGGUUAAUUGAUGAAGUUAGCUUCGGCGAAGCUUCUGAUCGAAGCCCCGGUAAACGGCGGCCGUAACUAUAACGGUCCUAAGGUAGCGAAAUUCCUUGUCGGGUAAGUUCCGACCUGCACGAAUGGCGUAACGAUGGCCACAC